GACCCCAUUUCUCAAACCCAGCUUUCUACAUGGAAUUAUUCAAAGGGAAACCUUAUCAAGCAGCCUUCCAGCUUGGUGUCAUCCAUUUUCUAAAGGUUUUUCCACCUUUCGACUAUUAUGAAUGAUGCUGCUAUGAACAUUUGAAUUCAAGUUUGUGUGGACAUAAGUAAGAAAGGCAUUCUUGAUGUGGAGCUUUUGUCACGCAAGGAGACUCCAAUCCUCUUGUUGGCAUCAAGGUCUCAGCUUAAAGGUCACUUUCUCCAGGAUGUCUUCUCUGAAGCUCCUCCUCGCCACCCCCAGGACUGGAC